CCCUCGAUAGUUAAGUUGGAAAAUCAGGGCAGAUAUUAAUAUUAAGGCGCUGGCUCAAAUCCGGCUCGAGGGA